rnacentral:rRNA from 1 species
AGUCGAGCGCACCUUCGGGUGAGCGGCGGACGGGUUAGUAACGCGUGGGAACAUACCCUUUGGUACGGAAUAGCCUCUGGAAACGGAGAGUAAUACCGUAUGAGCCCUUCGGGGGAAAGAUUUAUCGCCAAAGGAUUGGCCCGCGUUAGAUUAGGUAGUUGGUGGGGUAAUGGCCUACCAAGCCUACGAUCUAUAGCUGGUUUUAGAGGAUGAUCAGCAACACUGGGACUGAGACACGGCCCAGACUCCUACGGGAGGCAGCAGUGGGGAAUCUUGGACAAUGGGGGCAACCCUGAUCCAGCCAUGCCGCGUGAGUGAUGAAGGCCUUAGGGUCGUAAAGCUCUUUCGCCUGUGAAGAUAAUGACGGUAGCAGGUAAAGAAACCCCGGCUAACUCCGUGCCAGCAGCCGCGGUAAUACGGAGGGGGUUAGCGUUGUUCGGAAUUACUGGGCGUAAAGCGCACGUAGGCGGACUGGAAAGUUGGGGGUGAAAUCCCAGGGCUCAACCCUGGAACUGCCUCCAAAACUAUCAGUCUAGAGUUCGAGAGAGGUGAGUGGAAUUCCGAGUGUAGAGGUGAAAUUCGUAGAUAUUCGGAGGAACACCAGUGGCGAAGGCGGCUCACUGGCUCGAUACUGACGCUGAGGUGCGAAAGUGUGGGGAGCAAAC